GUGCAGCAGGCGCGAAAACUUUACAAUGCCGGCAACGGCGAUAAGGGAACCUCGAGUGCCAGGUUACAAAUCUGGCUGUCGUGAUGCCUAAAAAGCAUUGCAUAGCAAGGGCCGGGCAAGACCGGUGCCAGCCGCCGCGGUAACACCGGCGGCUCGAGUGGUAACCGUUAUUAUUGGGUCUAAAGGGUCUGUAGCCGGCCGGGUAAGUCUCUUGGGAAAUCUGGCAGCUUAACUGUCAGGCUUUCAGGAGAUACUGCCUGGCUCGAGGCCGGGAGAGGUGAGAGGUACUUCAGGGGUAGGGGUGAAAUCUUGUAAUCCUUGAAGGACCACCAGUGGCGAAGGCGUCUCACCAGAACGGACCUGACGGCAAGGGACGAAAGCUAGGGGCACGAACCGGAUUAGAUACCCGGGUAGUCCUAGCCGUAAACGAUACUCGCUAGGUGUCGGCCACGGUGCGACCGUGGUCGGUGCCGUAGGGAAGCCGUGAAGCGAGCCACCUGGGAAGUACGGCCGCAAGGCUGAAACUUAAAGGAAUUGGCGGGGGAGCAC
rnacentral:rRNA from 1 species